rnacentral:lncRNA from 1 species
GAGGCAACAGGAAGUGCUGAACACAUGAUGAAGGCCAGGAUUCCCACCCCAGAUCAGCUUUGGCUAAGUGUUGAGGGUUGGAUUUCCAAGGAAAAGAGGGCAGGUAAGUGUUAGACUACCACUAAGAUUUAAUGGGACUUGACUGUUCAAAGGCUUUUUGAAAAUCCCAACCUAAUGUUUUAAUUAGAAGACAUUAGAAGACUCAUGACUAGACAUCAUUAGUCUAGAUGAAGGCUUGGGUGUUAGUGUUGUGUAGAAGAUGACUCUUUCCAGUCUUUGGUAAUAGCUUCAUAUGUUGAGUAUUUUUUAUAACCAGAAGUAACAGUCAAAUAGAUAUUCCCAGAAUCAACUAGGGAUUGCUUUAGCUAGAGCUGAAUUCAGCAUUCAUUCCUACUCUCUCACUUUUUUCAGUUUCUGAAAGCUAACUUAGUCAUCUUUCAGUCUAUAGGUUUCUAUGCUAGCUUUCAACCUAGAAAUGAGUAUUUCAGCUUGCACAUUUUCCUCUUUUUGGGGAGUAGAGGUGGAAGAAAGGUGACAGGAUAGGACAAGUACAAGGUGUACCUGGGACAAUGAGGAGCUGGAAGAGGCCUGAGAAAUGUUUCAACAGCAAUGAUCAUUCUCUCACAAUCUAUUGUAGCUACCAUUGUCCUUUUCAUAGUUACAUUCUAGGUUUUAGAAAACAUAGGUUACAGAUAUGCUACUGUACAAAAUGAAUAGGGUUUGUUCUCUGACUGUCAUGCAAAAUAGCAUGGCACAGCUUACAUCCAUACAACUAAAUUUUCUUUGCCUUACAAAAAAGGUUGAAAAGAUCCCAGCCUGCCUAUAUGGACCCAUCACUGGCUCACAUUGUCCAUCAAACUAUUCUCGGGCACUGCCUGAGUGUGCUAGUUAGCACAGGCCAAAACCAUAUCAGAGAACAUGUUAACAGUUUAAACUGCAGGGACAGCCUAAGUCAGUAUCUGAACCCAUGCCCUGGCCCUGUUUUAUCUACUAGCACAGACUUAGUCAUACCCAGUAGUGCCAGAAAUGGCCGUAUUGCUGAAGUGUGUACUUCAACAAACUUAUGUCAGCGUAAAGCAUUGGUAAAUUGUGUUCCUCCCUUUAUCCUCAUACAGGAAGUGCAGAGACCUGGCCAUCAUCUCCUACCAGAUACCACGCCUCCUGCUUGGGAAGCUUUGUUUGCUGUUGAGCCAUCUGGGUCUGCAGAAGCUCUUUUUGCCUGUAAUUUAGAUAAUGUUUGA